AUUGAACGCUGGCGGCAGGCCUAACACAUGCAAGUCGAGCGAGCGGCGGACGGGGGAGUGAGGUCUGUGCAACAGCCGGAGGGAGUGGGAGAACUACAGGAAACGGGAGCGAAUACCGCAUACCCUAAGAGAUGCCCAGAUGGGAUUAUCUAGUGGGUGGGGUAAAGGCUAACCUAGGAGACGAUCCCUAGCUGGUCUUAGAGGAGGACCAGCCACACUGGAACUGUGACACGGUCCAGACUCCUACGUGAGGGAGCAGUGGGGAAGAUUGGACAAUGGGCGCAAGCCUGAUGCAGCCAUGCCGCGUGUGUGAAGAAGGCCUUCGGGUUUGAAAGCACUUUCAGCGGGGAGGCGGUACUCGCAGAAGAAGCACCGGCUAACUCCGUGCCAGCAGCCGCGGUAAUUC
rnacentral:rRNA from 1 species